UAUAAGAGUGUGUAUGUGUAGGCAUGUGUGCAUGUGUACGUUUGUGGGAGAGAUUUAAGGUAACAUAGUGAAGCGUAUCUGAGCGUGAGUGCCUACUUAUGUGUGAAUGUGUGAGUGUGUGUCAGUGUUUGUGUAUAUGCGUGGUAUGUUUAUAAGUGUGACCGACCGUUCGCAUAUGUCGUAUAUAUCGCCGAAGCAUAUUACAUUAAACAUGUCAUAUGCGUCGAACAAGAAUAGCUGGCGGCAUUGUCGUGCCACCGAUUAUCUGUACUGAGCCCAACCUUACAUGACUACAGAUUUCCGAGCCCUAAUUGUUCCAUCUCUUAUCCAGUGAUAUUAUAAUGUGUCCUAUUUUUUUUUAAAGAUAGGUAAGGUUUGAAGAAAAUUUGACUGGUAUUUCCACAAGGGUGAGCUAACAAUUCAGAGUUUAUUGUUUGGUACGAUUGAAUAAUGCAUUAAAAAAGUCUACGCAAGAAAAUAUUGUGAAUCUAGCUGAUUGGAAACGGAUGCAUUUAUAUUAUACAUAAUAGUUGUAUCUUUUCAUUCGAUGUAUGUUCAUGAUGUAAGUAACGUUAAAUAAUGCCAAAUGCUAAUGAAAGAUAUUUAAGCUGUCUUAUAGAAUCAAAAUUAAAUGCCCAUGUAUCUUUAACAUAUUUUAUAUUUAUGCAUAUUGAAUUGUAGGACAAAGCCUGUGUUACAAUGGUUUAAUAUAAACCAGUCACAUACCUCGCGAAACAAACCUGAAACGAUAUUUCUAUACUCUUAGAAUUUAGAAAGUCAUUCAAAAAUAUCUGUCUUCCCAAUCUUCUUUAGGCAACCAAUAUAUUCCACCAGUACGUAUGAAAAUGCUAUUUUUCUUUCAAAGAAGAGAAAAUAAUACAAAGAGAAUCUAGAAUUAAAACCAUUGUAUAUGAGACUAUAUAAAAAAACAAUGUAUGUAUGUAUGUAUGUAUCUCUCUCUCUCUCUCUCUUUCUUCCUUCCCCUCCCAUUCUCUCUCUUUAUAUAUAUAUGUGUGUGUGUGUAUAAAAAUAUAUAUGUGCAUAUGUAUUUAUGCAAAAUCUAACGGUAUUCUUAAAGGGUUUAAGAAAGCGUUUCAUCGGUUUUCAUAUUGCUACAUUUCCAAAGUAUUGCAGAUAAAUGUUGUUAUGGUAACUCUCUGUGGUAUAUAGAAAAACCUACAAUAGCUAAAGCCAGUUUGGCAUCAGAAUGACAAAAAACGAUUUUCAUCAUAGUUAAUGCUUAGUAACAUAUUUGAGAGAAAUAAAUUUAUUGAGGCAACACAAACGAAGACAAAAGAAGACAAACGGAGAGUAAUACAAAACAUGGUCUCCUAUUUAGAGAGUUCUCCUUCAAGAAAGUUUUUUCCUUUUAUGAAAUAUCUAAACGUAAAUAGAACAAAUGAAGUUUUGCAACAGCAGAUGAUUAAAUUUUGUGAGGUGCAGCAGAAACGGUUUUGGAACUGCCUUAAUCUCGAAGAAAACUGUGGUACGAGGAAAAGUUUGAUCCGCGAAAUGUAAAAAAAUCCUGACGCCCGGCGCAACAGAAGAUAAAUGAUGACGUGUGAGCGGAUUUGCAGCGGUCAAGUGAACCGCUGAGAUGACAGAGCCACCGACUGAAUGCCUUGCAGUCAACAUUUUAUGCUGUGUCUUGUGAUUUUGUUGAGAUCCUCCUCCUCCUAACAUGAGUAUCAGUGAUGUAAUCAGAUCAAACGUAAGUGGCCUUGUGCAUUAGCAAGAAAUCAAUAAACAUUCUACAUGAGGAGAACGUUGGAGUUACGCAAACAACAGAGCGUCAGAUAUUUUUUUUUUUACAAUAUUCAGUCUCAUUUUUCUAGCUUCCCAAAUGAGAUAUUCUCAGAGUCAACAUUUAUAAUUCAAUGCCAUUAAAUUAGACACCUGUCAAGUAAUUGAGAUUUUCUUCUUACGAAUUCACUAUAACCACUCUCCACAACAUAUUUUAGUCAUUUUUAGGAAACAAGAAAGUGCUAGUUCAAACACAGUAGCAUUGCGACUUCGGCAUGUUCACUGAA